rnacentral:rRNA from 1 species
UCCAGACUCCUACGGGAGGCAGCAGUGGGGGAUAUUGCACAAUGGGGGGAACCCCGAUGCAGCGACGCCGCGUGGGUGAAGGAGUAUUUCGGUAUGUAAAGCCCUAUCGGCAGGGAAGAAGCAAGACGGUACCUGACUAAGAAGCCCCGGCUAACUACGUGCCAGCAGCCGCGGUAAUACGUAGGGGGCGAGCGUUAUCCGGAUUCACUGGGUGUAAAGGGAGCGUAGACGGCCAAGCAAGCCAGGGGUGAAAGCCCGGGGCCCAACCCCGGGACUGCCCUUGGAACUGCAUGGCUGGAGUGCGGGAGGGGCAGGCGGAAUUCCUGGUGUAGCGGUGAAAUGCGUAGAUAUUAGGAGGAACACCAGUGGCGAAGGCGGCCUGCUGGACAGAAACUGACGUUGAGGCUCGAAAGCGUGGGGAGCAAACAGGAUUAGAUACCCGCGUAAG